CGUACACUCCUACGGGAGGCAGCAGUGGGGAAUAUUGGACAAUGGGCGCAAGCCUGAUCCAGCCAUGCCGCGUGAGUGAUGAAGGCCCUAGGGUUGUAAAGCUCUUUCACCGGUGAAGAUAAUGACGGUAACCGGAGAAGAAGCCCCGGCUAACUUCGUGCCAGCAGCCGCGGUAAUACGAAGGGGGCUAGCGUUGUUCGGAUUUACUGGGCGUAAAGCGCACGUAGGCGGACUAUUAAGUCAGGGGUGAAAUCCCGGGGCUCAACCCCGGAACUGCCUUUGAUACUGGUAGUCUUGAGUUCGAGAGAGGUGAGUGGAAUUCCGAGUGUAGAGGUGAAAUUCGUAGAUAUUCGGAGGAACACCAGUGGCGAAGGCGGCUCACUGGCUCGAUACUGACGCUGAGGUGCGAAAGCGUGGGGAGCAAACAGGAUUAGAAACCCGAGUAGUCCCAUGAU
rnacentral:rRNA from 1 species